rnacentral:rRNA from 1 species
UUCGAAUGGAGAGAUUCAUCGUCAGCGACCCUGGCAAUUUUGCGGUUCGCGAUGCCUGGGACUACGGUCCCGCGGCACGUGUCCGUAUGAUUUAUAUGUGCCGGGUGUCGUCGUCGUGCACUUCUCCCCUAGUAGGACGUCGCGACCCGUUGGGUGUCGGUCUACGACCUGGGUGGGCGACUGUCAUGUGUUAAGCUUCACGGCGUCAUGUGGCAGACCCCCGGUCGUCUGACCAGCUGCUCGGCGGUACUCGCACGGUAUCGAGUCGCAAUUUGAACUGCGUCCGGCCCGCCGCAAGCGAGGCCAGUGUUUCCCGGAUGUACGGACUUAGCGCCGUCACCGGGCCUGGCCAGCUGUUGGCUGGCGGUGUCCUAGGACUUGACUCUAUGUAUACCGGUCGGCGACGCUACUGCUUUGGGUACUUUCAGGACCCGUCUUGAAACACGGACCAAGGAGUCUAACAUGUGCGCGAGUCAUUGGGAUCUGUUAAGCCUAAAGGCGCAAUGAAAGUGAAGGUAGGCCUUUGCGCCAACCGAGGGAGGAUGGGCCGCGUCACGAUGCGGUCCCGCACUCCCGGGGCGUCUCGUUCUCAUUGCGAGAAGAGGCGCACCCAGAGCGUACACGUU